GGUGGCUCAGUGGUAGAGUGCUUGCCUUGCAUGCAUGAGGCCCUAGGUUCAAUUCCUCAGCACCA
rfam:Dipodomys ordii contig_23986, whole genome shotgun sequence.